rnacentral:rRNA from 1 species
CAAGUCGAACGAUGAAGCUGGAGCUUGCUCCGGUGGAUUAGUGGCGAACGGGUGAGUAACACGUGAGUAAUCUGCCCUUGACUCUGGGAUAACUGCGGGAAACUGUAGCUAAUACCGGAUACGACACCUUCGGGCAUCCGAUGGGUGUGGAAAGAAUUUCGGUCAAGGAUGAACUCGCGGCCUAUCAGCUAGUUGGUGAGGUAAAGGCUCACCAAGGCGACGACGGGUAGCCGGCCUGAGAGGGUGACCGGCCACACUGGGACUGAGACACGGCCCAGACUCCUACGGGAGGCAGCAGUGGGGAAUAUUGCACAAUGGGCGAAAGCCUGAUGCAGCAACGCCGCGUGAGGGAUGAAGGCCUUCGGGUUGUAAACCUCUUUUAGUUGGGAAGAAGCGAAAGUGACGGUACCAACAGAAAAAGCACCGGCUAACUACGUGCCAGCAGCCGCGGUAAUACGUAGGGUGCAAGCGUUGUCCGGAAUUAUUGGGCGUAAAGAGCUCGUAGGCGGUUUGUCGCGUCUGCUGUGAAAAUCCGAGGCUCAACCUCGGACCUGCAGUGGGUACGGGCAAACUAGAGUGCGGUAGGGGAGAAGGGAAUUCCUGGUGUAGCGGUGGAAUGCGCAGAUAUCAGGAGGAACACCGAUGGCGAAGGCACUUCUCUGGGCCGUAACUGACGCUGAGGAGCGAAAGCGUGGGGAGCGAACAGGAUUAGAUACCCUGGUAGUCCACGCCGUAAACGGUGGGUGCUAGUUGUGGGCCACAUUCCACGUGGUCCGUGACGCAGCUAACGCAUUAAGCACCCCGCCUGGGGAGUACGGUCGCAAGACUAAAACUCAAAGGAAUUGACGG